rnacentral:rRNA from 1 species
GAUGAACGCUGGCGGCGUGCCUAACACAUGCAAGUCGAGCGAUCUUCUUCGGAAGAGAGCGGCGGACGGGUGAGUAACGCGUGGGUAACCUGCCCUGUACACACGGAUAACAUACCGAAAGGUAUGCUAAUACGAGAUAAUAUACUUUUAUCGCAUGGUAGAAGUAUCAAAGCUCCGGCGGUACAGGAUGGACCCGCGUCUGAUUAGCUAGUUGGUAAGGUAACGGCUUACCAAGGCGACGAUCAGUAGCCGACCUGAGAGGGUGAUCGGCCACAUUGGAACUGAGACACGGUCCAAACUCCUACGGGAGGCCGCAGUGGGGAAUAUUGCACAAUGGGCGAAAGCCUGAUGCAGCAACGCCGCGUGAGCGAUGAAGGCCUUCGGGUCGUAAGGCUCUGUCCUCAAGGAAGAUAAUGACGGUACUUGAGGAGGAAGCCCCGGCUAACUACGUGCCAGCCGCCGCGGUAA